rnacentral:rRNA from 1 species
GAUGAACGCUGGCGGCGUGCCUAAUACAUGCAAGUCGAGCGAACAGAUGAGGAGCUUGCUCCUCUGACGUUAGCGGCGGACGGGUUAGUAACACGUUGAUAACCUACCUAUAAGACUGGGAUAACUUCGGGAAACCGGAGCUAAUACCUGAUAAUAUAUUGAACCGCAUGGUUCAAUAGUGAAAGACGGUUUUGCUGUCACUUAUAGAUGGAUCCGCGCCGCAUUAGCUAGUUGGUAAGGUAACGGCUUACCAAGGCAACGAUGCGUAGCCGACCUGAGAGGGUGAUCGGCCACACUGGAACUGAGACACGGUCCAGACUCCUACGGGAGGCAGCAGUAGGGAAUCUUCCGCAAUGGGCGAAAGCCUGACGGAGCAACGCCGCGUGAGUGAUGAAGGUCUUCGGAUCGUAAAACUCUGUUAUGAGGGAAGAACAAAUGUGUAAGUAAAUAUGCACGUCUUGACGGUACCUAAUCAGAAAGCCACGGCUAACUACGUG